UACGGAGGGAGCUAGCGUUAUUCGGAAUUACUGGGCGUAAAGCGCACGUAGGCGGACCGAUAAGUCGGGGGUGAAAUCCUGGAGCUCAACUCCAGAACUGCCUUUGAAACUGCCGGUCUUGAGUUCGGGAGAGGUGAGUGGAACUGCGAGUGUAGAGGUGAAAUUCGUAGAUAUUCGCAAGAACACCAGUGGCGAAGGCGGCUCACUGGCCCGAUACUGACGCUGAGGUGCGAAAGCGUGGGGAGCAAACAGG
rnacentral:rRNA from 1 species